GACGAACGCUGGCGGCGUGCUUAAUACAUGCAAGUCAACUUGUCUUAUAGUAGCAAUAUUGUAAGAAGAGUGGCGCACGGGUGAGUAACACGUAGGUAAUCUACCCUCAGGACUGACAUAAUUCAGCGAAAGCUGGACUAAUAUCAGAUAAAACAGUGAUAUGGCAUCAUGUUACUGUCAAAACUUCGGUGCCUGAAGAUGAGCCUGCGGUCCAUUAGGCAGUUGGCGGGGUAAUAGCCCACCAAACCAACGAUGGAUAGCUGGUCUGAGAGGAUGAUCAGCCACACUGGAACUGAGACACGGUCCAGACUCCUACGGGUGGCUG
rnacentral:rRNA from 1 species